AGUCGGCCGGGCAGUCGCGGCACACCGCAUGGUGGCGCGGAGGAAAGUCCGGGCUCCGACGGGCAGGGUGCCAGGUAACGCCUGGGCGGCGUGAGCCGACGGAAAGUGCCGCAGAAAACAUACCGCCGAUGGCCGCCGCGGGUGGCACAGGUAAGGUUGAAAUGGUGCGGUAAGAGCGCACCGCAUGCGUGGUAACACGGCAUGGCAGGGCAAACCCCACCCGGAGCAAGACCAAAUAGGGGAGCAUACGCGUGGCCCGCGCGGCUCCCGGGUAGGUCGCUAGAGAUGCGCGGUGACGCGUAUCCCAGAUGAAUGACUGUCCUCGACAGAACCCGGCUUACAGGCCGGCUUC
rnacentral:RNase_P_RNA from 1 species